GAGCUUGAUAUAAAGAUUCCCUGCUGGCGCGCUCGCUGUAGCUCCUGUUCCAGUUGGGUCAGCUUCAAGCGGCUACUUUCCAGUUGCUGGACAUAGGCUUUCUUCCUCAACCGGCUUUUUCUUGCAGCUUCUCUAUUUUGGGCAAGUCUACGAAGAGUCUUCUGAUCCAAUUUAUCCUUGGAUCUGUCACUGGAAUCUGAAACUGCAACAAUACUAGAUUGACCCCUAUCAAACCUCUGAUUUUUUUCAUCAGUGUCUGCAUCUGUUGAUAUAUCAGUCCGUGGACUGGCAUCAGCCAUAUUGGACUCUCCCAAAUUCUCUGUAUUGCCACUAGAUAUGGAUACCAGGUUCAACUGUUGAUUCUUUUCUAGUGGCAAUCUUUGCAACUCCACUUGGGCAGCAGAUGGAUUAAUAUUAAAGUAAGUAGUUGACUUGUCAAAAGUGCCAAUAUUGAGGGGAUCCGAAGAGACUGCUUGGCUACUUGCUUUUGCUGAAUUGAACAAUGUAUUUGCACUCAGGUCAACAGCAUCAUCGAAGCGAAAUGCAAUAUUUUGCUCAAACACCCCAAUAUCAGAGGCACGAUAUGAUUGGAUUGUAUUUCCCUCUAUGCUAAGUGCAUUCGAAAUGGGUAAUUGAGGAUCAAAGCUCAGCAUCCCGUUGGCUUCCUUCUCAUCUUCCACACCCACCCUACUCCCCAUACAUCACCAUCAUCCUCACUUCCUUAGUCCCGUUCAUGCAAAUUAGCCAAACCACUAACUGGCAAUUUGUAGUUGAUGAUGAUAUUGGUGAUGGUAGAUGAUAAUGAAGAUGAAAUAAUUUAUGCUGUAAAAAAUUUUUAUGUAUUGGAUUGGAGAGAGAGUGUGUGUGGGGGGAGGAUCAAUCCAAUCUCUAGACGUCCUCUUCUGGGAAAUCUUCCACUUU
rnacentral:misc_RNA from 1 species